CCCUUUUCCACUUCGAGGAUGAACCCCGUCCUGGUGCCUGUGAAGUUAUAUCCACCUUAAGAGAGAAAGCAAAACUUCGCAUCAUGAUGCUCACUGGAGAUCAUGAAUCAAGUGCUCUGAGAGUUGCUAAAGCUGUUUGUAUUGAUGAAGUGCACUGCUGUUUGAAGCCAGAGGACAAACUGAAUAAAGUAAAGGCAGUUUCAAGGCGAGGUGGGAGUUUAAUAAUGGUCGGCGAUGGUAUAAAUGACGCGCCAGCUCUUGCAGCUGCAACUGUCGGUGUCGUUCUAGCUCAACGUGCCAGUGCAACAGCAGUAGCUGCUGCAGAUGUUCUGUUAUAGCAGGAUGAUAUCUGCGGGGUGCCAUUUUGUAUCGCUAAAGCUCGUCAAACAACUUCACUGGUCAAGCAAAGUGUAGGGCUUGCCCUAACUUGUAUCCUUCUUGCUGCGCUUUCUUCUGUCUUGGGAUUUCUUCCUCUUUGGUUGACGGUGAGUUUGUUCCUCCAUGCAGUAUGCUGCCUUGCUAAUACACCUGUGGUUCAAUGA